rnacentral:rRNA from 1 species
UACGUAGGGGGGCGAGCGUUGUCCGGAGUUACUGGGCGUAAAGGGCAUGCAGGCGGUCAGGCGCGUUUUUGUGUGACAGCGGAUGGCUUAACUAUCCGAGGAUACGAGAUACGGCGUGACUUGAGAGCGCGAGAGGGACACGGAAUUCCGGGUGGAGUGGUGAAAUGCGUAGAGAUCCGGAGGAACACCGAAGGCGAAGGCAGUGUCCUGGCGCGUAUCUGACGCUGAGAUGCGAAAGCCAGGGGAGCGAACGGG